GUGCUCCAGACCCUGUGUCCAUCCUCCCACACUCCCUGUCUGUGUCUCUGUCCCCUGGCUGCCAGGACACCCACAAGUUCACAUUUCUGAAGAGCACCUACGUCCUGUGCAAAACUGCCUUGAAACGUGGCUUGACUCAGGGCCUGGAUUUAUUCUGCCAGGCAUGCGAAGUGGUGGAGAAUAUCAAGGACCUCCUGGAAAAGGAGCCAAGGGACCGUCUGUCCUCACAGAUCCGGUAUCUCGCCAUGAUCACCAUCGAUGAGUUAUGCUUGGUGGAGAAUGUGCUGGAGGGCAAAACCAGAAGCCUCCUCUCCGCAUGUUUCUCGAGUGUCUUAUUGCUCCCCUCGGAAAGGGAAAUGCCACACCAGAGCGCUUCCCUCUUCACCAAGACCCUGAAAGCCAUGGACACAAUGCUGAGGACGGUGGUGCUCAGCUUUCCUGCCUCCAGUGUCUGCAAGGAGCUGCAGGACAUCUUUGAGAUGCUGCUGGACUUCACCAGAUCUGAGAGAGAAGUUGUGCGGGAGAGGGCUGUGGGGAGGAUUGGUGUCCUGACCAGUUUGCUGUCUGGCUAUUCCACUCUGAAGGCCUCUGUCAGCUUUGGAAGAGACAGUUUUGGACCUGUCUGCCCUGAAGACAUCUCAGUCCCAGUCGUGGGAAGGCUGGUGGGACGUCUCAUUCUUUUCCGAUAUUCCGAGGAACAAACAAGUUAUACAGCUUUCCACGCUCUUUUUUCCCUUGCUGAAUUCCUCUACAAGUCAAGGCCAAGGGAUGGGCCAGACCAAUUUGCUUGGGAAGCUGUGACCACCUCCUCGCUGUGUUACCUGAGCAUCAGAGACUGUACCCAGGCCUUUGGAAAAUACCUCCACUCUAGAGAGAGGACAGAUGUCAUCCUGGAGGCCAUUCAGGCCAUGAGAGAUGCCAGCAUCCUUGACAAGCAGGUGCCCAGCAGCAUGCUGGAUGUGGCCAUGGAAGACCCAAAAUUCUGGCUGACAGAUGUGCCCAAGAUAGUGAGCUGCAUUCUUGAAAACCUGCUAUGCAUCACCACAGAGUCAGGCUGUAGGAAAGUGGAGUCACUGUUUCUCCUGAUGACCAACGAGAACCGCUCGGCAGUGGUCAUCAGCCUGUGUGAGAUGACUCUGCAAGGAGACAGUGCUGUGCAGGAGCUGUGCAACACUCUGUCCUCCAUGCCUGAGAUUUUGGACAAGGUCCUCACGGAGUUUGCUAUCUUGCUCCGGAACCACUGGUGCAGCUCUUCCAGAGAAAGCACCUGGAACUCUCACAGAGCUUCAUCCUCGGGGCACAGGGACUUGGAGGAGCUGGGUAACAAGCCCAGCAUCUGGAGCGAUGAGGGCCAUCCCGAUGUGGUGACGGCCUUCCUGAUGCUGGAGAUCCUCACUGGGCUGUCAGAGAGAGCUGAGAUGGCAAAAAAAAUCGAAGUCUUUCUGCCGAGCAUGAUGAAGAUACUGGAAGCUGGCAGUGAAGAUGAGAAGCUGAAGGUCAUUGUGGUCUUCCACAAUCUCCUGCGUCAGCUGAAAAAGUCAAAGGCCAGCUCCAUCACUGUGGCACUGGUGGGGAAGAUCAUACCCCUCUUUGACUCGCAUGAGUGUGGCCAGCUGCGAGAGCUCUCCCUCUGGCUCCUCAGAGACCUGCUGAGGUCCGUGGUGAGAAGGGAUGAGAAGAAGAUGGGGAGGGAGAUGCAGAAUGCACUGAUCCCGCUCCUCUUCCGCUUGAACGACCAUCUCCCCAGCGUGGCCAAGGCUGCCAGGGAAGCCCUUUUUGCUGCUGCAGAGCUUCUCAAAUGGAAGCAGCUCAAGCACCUGCUGCAGAGAGAGCGGAUGUGGGAGCUUGGAGAAUGCUUGUUGAUGAGGAGGGGGAGCAGGGUUGAAGAGUACAUGAAGCAGAGCCUGCCCUACCUGAAGGACCCUCAGUCCUCCGUGCGCCUGGCAGCCGUCAGGUUCAUCAGGAUCGCCACGAGGCACGUGAGGAACCAGGACCUGGAGACUCAGACUCAUAUCCUCACUGCCCUUCAGCCCCUGGAGAAGGACAGGGAUAUCUCAGUCAGUUCCCUGGCAGCCCACACACGCUUGAUCCUCAGAGCUCCGAGGGUGCAGCGAAGAUCAUCGGUGAUUCUACAAAUGCUGUGCUGCUGGUGCCGGUGAGCUCAGCAGGGCUGCAGCUUUCUCUGGAUUAAUAAAGGUGGAAAAAAACACUUCCA
ensembl:lncRNA uncharacterized LOC107212273